GAGUUUGAUCGUGGCUCAGAUUGAACGCUGGCGGCAUGCUUUACACAUGCAAGUCGAACGGCAGCGCGGGCUUCGGCCUGGCGGCGAGUGGCGAACGGGUGAGUAAUAUAUCGGAACGUACCCAGGGGUGGGGGAUAACGUAGCGAAAGUUACGCUAAUACCGCAUACGCUCUACGGAGGAAAGCAGGGGAUCGCAAGACCUUGCGCGCUUGGAGCGGCCGAUAUCUGAUUAGCUAGUUGGUGGGGUAAAGGCUCACCAAGGCAACGAUCAGUAGCUGGUCUGAGAGGACGACCAGCCACACUGGGACUGAGACACGGCCCAGACUCCUACGGGAGGCAGCAGUGGGGAAUUUUGGACAAUGGGGGCAACCCUGAUCCAGCAAUGCCGCGUGAGUGAAGAAGGCC
rnacentral:rRNA from 1 species